GGGGAAGGGGGAAGGCUGGCGCUGGGUUGGAAAUAGAAGCCGUCCGGGAGGGGAUGGUGAACACAGUAAGGGACAGCAAAUACAUUUCCUCAACGCUGUUGGUUUUUUCCUGUCAACUCAAGACUUUUCUCUCUUAUUUCUCAGAUUUUAUGUGUUUGGGUCCUUGCUCAUAUUCUCAUGAAGUUGUGGAAUGCAGUUCAGUUCAUCACACUCAACAGACCUUAUCGGAACCCGCUGUACCCAGAGUGCCAUUCAAAGGGAUUCCCACCCGGAAUAAUGCCAUGCUGGGGAAGGAGGAAGGACAUUCUGUUUCCAAACUGAGUCAGUCUGGGCCUUCAAGGGACUGUGGGAAUGUGGAAAGCCCUGAGCAGCUGCUGGAGUUCCCACCUGGCUGCAGGGGGCUAAGAAGCCGGGCAACUGACAACAUCAGCAAAUCCCAAAGUAAUUUCCAGCUGGUUUGGAACGCAGCUGCUUUGACCUCCUAA
rnacentral:lncRNA from 1 species